rnacentral:rRNA from 1 species
GAUUUCUGGUUCGGCGCACUUGGCCCGUCUCGGUUUACGGGAUUGUGUGCCGGUGUGCGCCAUCCAUCCUUCGAGAGAACACUUCUACCCUUCACUGGGUCGGGAGUGCUAUCUCGAUCUUUUACUUUGAAAAAAUUAGAGUGUUUAAAGCAGGCUUGCGCUAUGAAUACAUUAGCAUGGAAUAAUAAUUUAGGACUUUGGUCUUAUUUUGUUGGUUUCUAGGACUAAAGUAAUGAUUGAUAGGGACAGUUGGGGGUGCUAGUAUUCAGCGGCCAGAGGUGAAAUUCUUGGAUUCGCUGAAGACUAACUUAUGCGAAAGCAUU